CAAUAGCGUAUAUUAAAGUUGUUGCGGUUAAAAAGCUCGUAGUUGGAUUUCUGCCGAGGACGACUGGUCCGCCCUCUGGGUGAGUAUCUAGUUCGGCCUGGGCAUCUUCUUGGAGAACGUAGCUGCACUUGACUGUGUGGUGCGGUAUCCAGGACUUUUACCUUGAGGAAAUUAGAGUGUUUCAAGCAGGCACACGCCUUGAAUACAUUAGCAUGGAAUAAUAAGAUAGGACUUCGGUUCUAUUUUGUUGGUUUCUAGAGCUGAAGUAAUGAUUAAUAGGGAUAGUUGGGGGCAUUCGUAUUUAACUGUCAGAGGUGAAAUUCUCGGAUUUGUUAAAGACGGACUACUGCGAAAGCAUUUGCCAAGGAUGUUUUCAUUGA
rnacentral:rRNA from 1 species